GACGAACGCUGGCGGCGUGCUUAACACAUGCAAGUCGAACGGAAAGGCCCUGCUUUUGUGGGGUGCUCGAGUGGCGAACGGGUGAGUAACACGUGAGUAACCUGCCCUUGACUUUGGGAUAACUUCAGGAAACUGGGGCUAAUACCGGAUAGGAGCUCCUGCUGCUUGGUGUGGGUUGGAAAGUUUCGGCGGUUGGGGAUGGACUCGCGGCUUAUCAGCUUGUUGGUGGGGUAGUGGCUUACCAAGGCUUUGACGGGUAGCCGGCAUGAGAGGGUGACCGGAGACAUUAGGACUGAGAUACGGCCCAGACUCCUACGGGAGGCAGAAGUGGGGAAAAUUGCACAAUGGGCGGAAGCCUGAUGAAGCAACGCCGCGUGAGGGAAGACGGCAUUCGGGAUAUGAACCGCUUUAGCCUGAGAAGUAGCGUGAGUGACGGUAAUGGGUAGAGAAGCAACGGCUAACUACGAG
rnacentral:rRNA from 1 species